rnacentral:rRNA from 1 species
AACGAACGCUGGCGGCAGGCCUAACACAUGCAAGUCGAACGCUCCGCAAGGAGAGUGGCAGACGGGUGAGUAACACGUGGGAACCUUCCCAUCGGAACGGAAUAGCUCAGGGAAACUUGAGGUAAUACCGUAUACGCCCCUAGGGGGGAAAGAUUUAUCGCCGAUGGAUGGGCCCGCGUCUAAUUAGCUAGUUGGUGAGGUAAUGGCUCACCAAGGCGACGAUCAGUAGCUGGUCUGAGAGGAUGACCAGCCACACUGGGACUGAGACACGGCCCAGACUCCUACGGGAGGCAGCAGUGGGGAAUAUUGGACAAUGGGCGCAAGCCUGAUCCAGCCAUGCCGCGUGAGUGACGAAGGUCUUCGGAUUGUAAAGCUCUUUUGGCGGGGACGAUAAUGACGGUACCCGCAGAAUAAGCCCCGGCUAACUUCGUGCCAGCCGCCGCAGUAAAAC